CAGUCGUACUGGCGAAAAAUCAACUACUCGAGUGAGUACUUGUGGGCGUAUGUGAGCUUCACGGCCGCGUUGUUUGCAAUGUUCGUGCUCUUGUGGUGUACUUUUUCGUAUGGUAGGUCAAUGUCGGUUUUGGACGCCAUAAAAUGAUCAGAGGAAUGUAGCUUCGACCUCGGUUGAAGUGUUAUAGCCUUUGGUAGAUGUGGUGUUUGGGAUCGAGGAUUGCAACGAAUACCUUUUGGGCUAUCCGUCUGACCUCUGAUGGUUAGCUGGGUGCCGAAAGCGUGCUUACGGUCAUCUAAGUUGACUGUCAAUAGGUUAGAACGUGAUUACA
rnacentral:rRNA from 1 species